GCAAAGCAAGGAUGAAGAGACUGGACAUGGUCCAGAGUUGGACAGGACAUUUACCCAUAUGACUGGGGGACUGAAGAGGAACAGAGAAUAAGAGGCGACUGGGGAUGAAGGGGACAGUGGAGGCUGCGUGACCUGAGCUGACACCGGGGUGAUGCGCAGGAGCUGGACGGUACAACCGGUGGUGAGUCACCAUGUAGGCAGAGGAUGUGGUGCAUGGCUCGGAGGAGCGGGGAAGACCCAGCGCCACGGCUGCAGCUCACCCCUCCACUUUGGAGAGGAGCGAGCAGCAGCGGGGGGAGACGGCCGAGGGCACGGCUUGGCCAGGCUUCACGGGACCUGGGCACGAGGAGCAGGUGCCCAUCCUCAUGAGCAACUGCCACUGGGGAUGGAGACAGGCAGAGGUCGGGCAGCUCCUCCGGUGAGUACUCCAGCAGGGCAGCAGACAGGCACCGGUGACUGCGCUUUAUUUCAUACGGGAAAUUGUUGGUUUGGGUACCAUCUUUCUGAUUAAAACCAGUGGUUGGGACGGCGGUUUUCCACACCAAGGGGAAUUUUCUAUAGGCCACCUUUGAGACUUUUUAUCUCUAUUUUUUUUAUAAUGUUAAACUCUAACUGUGUAGCCUAACCUACAGCUGACUGUGCAGAGUAAAAGGAAGGGAAACCAGCCAGGUGGAAAACAAAAUGACAGAGCACAUGAUGGACCUGCAUAUCAAAGCACAUCCCAAUCAUAAGGAUACCCCAAAGUCUGGUUUGGUUCCUGACAAAACAUGAGCUCGGCGAUGGAGACAUUGUUAGCUGGCUGAUCAAGGGGACAUUCAGUGGAAACUAUUACCGUGGCAUCGCAGGAAGGAGCCGGGCAGCCUCCGUCUGCCUGCUGAGCUCAUCCCGAUCCCCGUGCCUCGAGGAGGAGAAGAGGGAGCCGAGGACGGGAGCAGGCGCUCGCGUGAUCAAAGCAAUGGGGAUGGCAGUCGAGGGAGGAAGGGGAUGAUGCUUUGCUUUUGGCGCUGGCCGUGAUUUGCUGUAUGUAUUUAGUGCCUCUGUGCUUGGGUUUGUGACACAGGUAAAAUGGAAAUCCCCAGGAGCGAGGAGGUCUGUUGUGGGGGCUGCCGUCCCUUGGUGUGUUUGAGAGAUUCUAACAGAAAGUGUUUUUGAUGAGAUUUCUCUAUGAGAAGAAAAAUUUAAUGUAAGAAGAUGGAAGAUUAUCCAAACAUUUAAAGUACAGAAUGGCAAUAAGUAGCUCUUAUUUUGCACUCUUCCCCGUGCCCACGUGUCCCUGGAGAACACCUAUUUUUGGCUACGCUUUUUUGCAGUUAUACAGUAUAAGGAGAGCUUUCUUCCGUAAGUGUUCACCUAAGAAGGAAGCAAGAAAGUUAUAGAACCAAUGACACUAGAUGAUUAAUGAACCAAACCAUCUCUCUUCCCCCAACCACAGCACCGCACAAUGGGUUUUCACUUUCUCCCAAUGGCCUUGAAAACAUCCUCAUCCUGAGGAGCAGACUGUUUCGAGCUGAUGUUUCUGUACCUCGUUCUGCAGAAACGGACUGGAGCGCUCAGAAGGGAAGGCACUUCUGUACAAUUUCGGAUAUACCUCUCUUGAUAGGGGGGUAAGAAGCAUUGAAACACUGUGAUCUCUUACACUAGAACAUAGGAAGUGUCUCUUGGAAGGACAGUGACAUGAAAAAUAAUCUCAUGACUCUUACAAGGACUAGCUGUGUAGCCUUCAACUUAGUAAAUUAGAAAUAACAUCAGAGCCAUGCGUUGCUGUACACCCAGCCAGAACCGGUGUAAGCACUGAAAUAAGAGCUGCCAGAUGUGAAAAAUGGCCAGAAAUUAUCAGAUGUGGACAAUAGCUCUAGGGCCCCUGUUGUUUGAAGUCCAACUUGAUAAACUUUGUGCUAAUUUGCUGAGUACCUUCAGACCCACUGGUAGUCAAAGGGAAGGUCCUGCAGCUAAGCCUGGCCGAAGAAAGAAGCCUUGAAAUCUCUCACAUUGGUCGAGUGGAAAGGAAGGCUCCCAAAGUCACAGGUGACGUCCAAAGAGUGGUCACAUUGGCUGAAGUGAGAGGCCUUUCUGCCCGCCUUGGAUGUACCUACACAGGUUGUAGGCUAAAGGCUGUCAGCAGCUUUAAACCAUAAAGAAAGGAAAUAGUCCACAAGGGAAAUUUAAGAGUAUGGUGCCAAGACCGCACUAACGGCUGCUUGUGUACACAUGUGGUUCAAAGGGAUGGAUGUUUGCAGUAACUCCAAUAAAAUAAGCUGCGGUAAUUUGAGGGGAGGAAUUUUCCUUUCUGGUGAAGUUCAUCUGGCAGCUUACCCACAACUGGGCAAACACCGCAGUGUCUUCGGGGCCACGGUG